AGUUCGGUAAGCUAAUCAAGCUGGUGGGCCCAUACCCCACACAUGUGGACUAACAAUUCCACCCAAACUA
rnacentral:tRNA from 1 species